CCACUAACUGGCCAAGAUGCAGGUUACUCUCCAAGUGGACAGUUUGCGACUCCUCCCGGACUGCCUAAUUGCCAGCGGAUAUAUUUCACCAAAUGCUUAUCUCAACAUGCAGGCAAAUCAUCAACUAGAGAGAGUCCUUAUGGACUUUUCGUUUUGUUGCCUUUGUAUCUCAUGACACCUGAAAAAACUACCAGGCUACACUCACCAAUAGCCACCUCUUGUGAUGUUGGAAUAAUGCCGCGACAGAAUGUAACUGUGUAGGUCCCCAAUCUACUUGUCACUCACUGGGUCCCUCGCCCUGCCUUUCUUUCUUAUCAGAUAUCAGAUGCAUAGCUUCAUUAGUCAGUGGUUAUGCAGCCAAACAAGCCAGACACUUUUGCUCCAGUUCGACGGAAAACGACAAUCCAAUUCCGGGUACUAGACAACCCCUCAGUAUCAACCACUAGUUAUCCUUUCCCCUUAAUACCGCUCGCUCUCCUUUUGUUCUAACAAUCAGUUUGUCAGGUCCGAGAUGGGACCGGGGUGUUUUGUUUCUACCAGGUAAAGUUUUAUUUUAAAGCCAUUGCAGUUGUUGGCCCAGCACCGGAGAGAAAACGUUGUUGACGUGGGAUUCAUUCUCCUGGGCCCUAUUUCCAAACUCAAACUGUCAUAAAGAUAAAAUACUCCGGCUGAUGUGAACGUUGCUGGAUGGAAUGAUGCGUUAAUCAAGUAGUAACCGAGAAAGAAAAGGGUAACACCCUCUACUUGGAAGCCUUGUUACUUUUGUGAUAUAUUAUAUCGGGCCAGAGGUCCAAUUUUCUGGCACAUUUGAUCUCAGAGGCAUAUGGGAGACAAAUAGGACCGCCCGUUGGUUGGGCGGCAGAUAGCGCGCAGAGAACCUGAAUGUAACUCUCGAAUGAUGGCAACCAAGUACCCCUCCUCCAUCGACAAUAGAAUAGAGAGCCCAGGUGCGCAGACAGCUGCACAGUCAUAUUUGCAUAGCCCCCGGUACACCCCAGCCCAAGAACCUUCUUGUUGUUUCCGUGCAAGUGCCUGCACACUUUACCUUUGAAGUGGGGUAUGUAUCUUUCGACUGGAAACUGGAAUGCAGUCGGAGAAUUUGCAUCGGGUGGUGAACGUGAUAAGCCCGGCCAUCGUCCUGUCACCCGCUUCCGGGGGCGAAUCAACUAGAGGACCCCAGUCCAUAACGCCUCGACUCCACUGAUGAUUUUUGCCCUUUCUUUUGAUUUUCUUUUCUUUUCUUUUCUUUUUUCUUUUUCGUGGUUGGGGCUUCGGUUUCAGUCAUUGCAAAUUGUACGGAGG
rnacentral:sRNA from 1 species